GGAAGGCCCGGGCGUUAUCCGGAUNUUAUUGGGUNUAAAGGGAGCGUAGGCUGGAGAUUAAGCGUGUUGUGAAAUGUAGAUGCUCAACAUCUGAACUGCAGCGCGAACUGGUUUCCUUGAGUACGCACAAAGUGGGCGGAAUUCGUGGUGUAGCGGUGAAAUGCUUAGAUAUCACGAAGAACUCCGAUUGCGAAGGCAGCUCACUGGAGCGCAACUGACGCUGAAGCUCGAAAGUGCGGGUAUCGAACAGGAUUAGAUACCCUGGUAGUCCGCACGGUAAACGAUGGAUGCCCGCUGUUGGUCUGAAUAGGUCAGCGGCCAAGCGAAAGCAUUAAGCAUCCCACCUGGGGAGU
rnacentral:rRNA from 1 species